UUUAAUUUUGUAAAAUUCAUUUAACCUGCACUUGGUCGCCCCUAUUCUCUGAAUGGUUAUGGCGAUAUCAUCAUUAUCGUUACUUGUACCAACGCUAAACCCUUCUUAUUCCCUUUCUCGCCUGUCAUACCCUAACAUUAUAUCCCGUGUCCACACUAAAGACAAGUAGUCAAUUCAGGCCAUCAGAUUAUAGUGGACCCACAUCAAUCCAACUGCUCACAAUGACCGACAGCCUCUCCAUCUCCAUUUCAGGUUUCCUCUUCAACUGGCUUCUGCUUCCGCCGUAUUUGCUCCAUUUCUUGGAUUCGGAGUCCGUAUUUGGUCGGUCGGUCCCGCACAGCUCCCUCUCACUCCAAUUGUCACCCAACAAGACCAAUUGCUUAAUCAAGGCACAGAACAAGAAGAGGAUGAGAAAUUGAAACAAGAAUUUGAGAAUUGGAAAUCGAAAACGUACGCAUUGACCGUGCCUUUGAGGGCAAUUACUUUUCUUGAGAAUUGAAGUUUGGUAAUGUAAUUUGUUCUCCAUCUGUGUUCCCUUUGUAGUCAUUUCAUAACUAAAUUGAUUGACUGUACAGUGCAUUUCAACAUAGCAUAUUUAACCGUUUUAACAGUUAUUUGGACCGUCUUCAGAGCUAACAUCAACAAACUCAUUCAUAUGCUUAAUAAUGAACGAAUAGUCUUGGAUCGAUGUUUUGCAGCAAGAGCAACACGACACAAUCUGGAUUCAACCUCCUCCUUUCUAACAGGGGAUUUCGAUUUGAGUUACUUUGUGCUCAAGCAAAUUCACAUCAUAGUUUUGAUUCUUUAGAUAUGAAUUCAUCACUUUACAUAUAUCAGAUUAAUGUGUAACAAAAUUUUUAAUUUACUGCGAAAAGAAUAUGCACUAAAAAAUGAUUUCAAGACUAUUUGACUACAAAAAGCAGCUGUCAGAGUGCACUAAAAAUUUCUGUAGGAUAUUUUGUAGCUGUUUAAUAUGUUAUGAUGGGCAUAUAAUUCUCAAAUUUUGAUGCCUCUCAGCGAAAAUCUAUCAAAGUUACAGAUGAUAUCACGUAAAACAUGCAUGGCUCAGGCUCAGGCUCAGGUAAGAAAGCCACAGAAAAGGAAAAUCUCACUGUCACGACUCACGUCACGCAUCAUUCAAGUGAUGGAUUUAACAAGACUGCUUAUGUUCUAUCAAAUUCCUCUGCCUCUCAGAAGAUAACUUUUCUGGGCCAAAUUUCUCAUCUAAAGCAUAUUAUGCCCCAAAGUCACAGAUAACAAAAUGGGGCACUACCGAUUAUGAAAGAGAACUAGUAGUUGUCAGAAGCCUAAGCCAAAUUCCGGUAGUAAGAAGAGGCCUUUCUUGAGUUUAGAUUAUGUGUUCGAGUUUUAAUAAAUGCCUAAGUUAAUAAUAAUAACAACAGUAAUAAUAAACUAAAAAGCAUAAUUACUAUUGAAUGGUAAAAAAAAAAAUGAAAAUGUGUGAACUCCAAUAACCACCCCAGUGGCGAAUUUUGGAGAGGGCUAGGCCGGGCUUCUUUUGUCACUGAGCAGUGUCAAUAUCGUCUAACAACUAACUUGAUUUUGAUAUGACAAACACACGGUGUGUCUCUCAUGUCUCACCCAUGUCUCACCAUGAUGGAGAAUUUUUCUAAUGCAUGAAGUAAGCUUUGAUAUGUGGGUUAGCUUGGAGAACAUAUCUCAAAAUGAAGAAGAUGGGGAGUUAAUGGGAAGAAACAGUCCAGUAGUUUAUAAUUCUGUCGACGAGCUGUAUCUCUAACAUGGUCAAAAUUUAUGUGAAUAAGGACAGGGAAUCGUCAUUCCUCUUUUCCUUUUUAUACCGGGAUAUCUCUCAACCUUUAUAUGUUGCCCGCUGGAGAUCUCCUUCUAAUAACUAAAAUAAAAAUUUCAUCCACUCAAAUAAAUGUUGACCAAGCUUUCACAAGAAAAAGUAACAUCUUUAGUGAAGUAAUUUACAGUUCCUUAUCAUCUUCGUGUGAGUCUAUCAGUAUGAUCCAAAAACAUAAUAAAUCUUGUUAGAUCCUGUUUAUUGAUGUUUGAAUGUUGUUCAUUGUGCAAUGUAGAAAUGAUGACGUGAAGUUUCUUUGGUCAUCAAUUAGUGAGAUCUUGUUUGAAGUUGUUUUCUGAAAUGAACUGCAAAAUGGUAGUUUUUUUUUUUUUCUUGGGUGCAUUUGAUGGCUCUUUUCUCCUCAUUUUAAGCAUGUGUCUGCUUGGAAUGGGAAGGAAUAGGCUUCAGAGUUGUUAUAUAUGUUGACAUGCUCUGGUCAUUACAAAAUAUGUUCAAAUUGGAAAUUAGAAUGAGAUAUUUGUUGAUGCUUUUUGAGAGAUCUGCAUUCUAUGCACCAUAACAUGAUGAAUGAAAAUGGGUUUAAGGACUGGAAAGAUCUGUGGCUGCCCGAGCUUGCAGGAAGGAUUUCAAUGGUUAAUUCUCCCAGAGAGGUUAUUGGUACAGUUUUGAAGUAUAUGGGAGCAUCAUACAAUUCAAAUGACAUUGAUUAGCAAGCUGCUGCUGGAAGGAUUGCUGUUCAGCAGAAUCUGGCAUUACUGGGAAACCAGGUACUCUUAAAGAAACGAUAUCUGGUCAAUGCAUAUUAUUGGGUGACGGCUGAUUUUGUUUGUAAAGUGUGCCUUUUCAUACCUAUGAAUGCAUAUGUUAGUGUUGUGUUCUCCUUUCCAUAAAUAUGAAUGCAUAUGUUGGUGUUCUUUUCUGAGAUGGAUGCAAUAAAGGCUUUUUCUUCUAAAUUUAGUUGAAGAAAUGGCAAGGAAUGUGAGAUUCUAUCUCAUUAAAUUAACAAAAACCCAAAACAGUGAAAACCCAUAUUAUGUGGAUGAAUUGGCGACAUUUGGCUUGUUUCCUGAACGUGAAUUAGCAAGCAAUAGAGACUAAAAAAAUGGAGUGAUAAUAACAAGUCAUUGUCAUUUGAUGAAUGCAUUUUUAAGCAAAAAUAGGUUUGUAACUGAAUAAAUUUGUCUGGCAUGCCAAUAUCAAAAAAUUAAAUUAUGUGGUUAUGAGCUGUAAUGAAGGGGGAUUGUAGGUGCAAUCAGAUCGAUCCAAGAAAGUUCAACAAAGUUCUGGUUUGGUGUAGUGAAAUUGGUUUGUGCAACUUGAGUCUUUCAGAUGAACAAUGACGAGUUUUCAUUUAAAAAUGUUAUAAAUCUGCCAUGCAUAGUAUUCUAGUAGAAUCAUCUAUAAAUUCAAGUUAUUGAAAUUGUCUAUUUGUCCAGUUUGAGUUAAGGACGCAUGUAAUAUGAAAAAUUGUUGUCGAAUCCCCUUCAUCUUUGAUGGAAAGAUGAAAUAAAAACAAAUUGGUGAAAAUGGUAUUGGUACCUGAGGCUAUGUAAUCUAAUUCAAAAACUGCACCAUCAAAACGAUUACAUAAGUCUCAGAAGAAUCAAAUAUCAGUUUGCAAAAUAUCAAUUGCUGGAGGUUUGAUUCUAACUUCCGCUCUUCAUUUUUAUGGGCAUAUUGUGUUGUACUUGCAUCCGAAAAUCAUAUUUUAGUUUACUUGCACUCAAUGCUUGGAUUAAAGUUUUUUUUUGGGGGGGGGGGGAUUGAAGAAGACUAAAAUUACACCAAAAAAGAGUUGAGCGAGAGCGGGUUUUGUCUUCAUUUAAGGAGCUCUUUAUAAAUUUUGGGAUUUUUUUCCUGAGAAAAUUUAUGCCAACUCAUUCUUUGCUGUUGUCGAAUAUUGUAGGUUAGCUAAUAUUUGAUCAAUCCUAUAGGGAGGGCUUUAAGAUGUCUAACAACAUGUAGAAUGCCUCUGCUUCCCCCACAAUUUUUAUCUUAUACAAUUUUUAUCUAUAAACAGUAUUUGCCAGACCUUAACCGUUCAGAUUCCCCUUCUCGACUAUCAUACCCUACACCCCAUCUCCGUGUCUCCGAUAAACAGUGCUCAAUUAAGGCCAUCAGAUUAUCCCGGUCCCACAUUGAUCAACGGCUCACAAUGACCGACAACCUCUGUCUCCAUUACAAGCUCCCUCUUCAACUCGCUUCUGCUUCCAUCCUGCUCUUUCUCGGAUUCGGAGCCCGUAUAUGCUCAGCUGGUCCCACAAAGCUCCCUCUCACUCCAGCUGUCAACCGACAAGACCAAUUGCCUUAUCAAGACACAGAACAAAAAGAGGAUGAGAAAUUGAAACAAGAAUUUGAGAAUUGGAAAUCGAAAACGUACGCAUUGAC
rnacentral:lncRNA from 1 species